rnacentral:rRNA from 1 species
UACGGAGGGUGCAAGCAUUAAUCGGAAUUACUGGGCGUAAAGGGCGCGUAGGCGGCCUUCUAAGUCAGACGUGAAAUCCCCCGGCUUAACCUGGGAACUGCGUCUGAUACUGGGAGGCUUGAGUAUGGGAGAGGGAUGUAGAAUUCCAGGUGUAGCGGUGAAAUGCGUAGAUAUCUGGAGGAAUACCGGUGGCGAAGGCGGCAUCCUGGACCAUUACUGACGCUGAGGCGCAAAAGCUAGGGGAGCAAACGGG